CAGGCAGAGAAGUUCACCUGCGUGUACUACAGCUUCUCUGUUGGGCAGCCUCUGAGCCCAAGGCAUGGGGUUGUGAUUGGGGUGAUUGUGCUGGUGGUGCUCCUUCUUCUGUCCUCGGGGAUCCUGUGCUUCAUGCUUUCCAGGAAAAAGAAGUCUUUGCCCAUCAAAGCUAAAGAGGAUAAUUAAAAAGGUAAAGGUGGCCAGGCUGGACAUCAGUCACUCCAGCCCCUGCCCAGGACCACAGGAGACAUUCAGAGCAGUGAGGGAGUGGAGAAGAUGGGGAGGAUGACCCCAGCUCCGUGCUGAUGGCUGCCAGACCCCCUGGCUCUCCUCUGACCAGAGCUGGGGGACCCAUCCAAUUCAGCAGAGCAAGAGGAAAAUAGGAGGCCAAGGAGGGUUGUGAGCUUUUUCUUCCCUCACUCCCUUCACCUCCCAGCUUUUGCUCCAUGCUGAUUUAAGGCCUUUGAAUGUGACUUUCUGUAGUCCCCUUUUUUUAGGCUUUGCUUUCAUUUUUGCUUUGCUGGGCGCAGGAACUGUACACCAGACUUCCUAGUCCCUGACACAGGGGCUCAGGCUGAGAGAUGGUCCCUGCUCCUGCCGUGUCCUGGGUUCCCAAUCCCUCUCCCUGCUCUGUCUGCUGAUAUUCAGCCAAACCCAGGGCUCUACUGGAGCUUGGCAUGACUUUGCCUGAUCUGUCUGGACAACCAAUAAAGGCUUUUG